rnacentral:sRNA from 1 species
AGAAAAGUAGGUGCCGCCCCGCACAGGGGCGACGCUAAUAGACCACUAAGAAAGCAGGUUCUACAGAAGGGCGCGGAUAACAGACAAAAAACAAACAAAACCCGCGCCCCGC